rnacentral:rRNA from 1 species
GUGGGGAAUAUUGCACAAUGGGCGCAAGCCUGAUGCAGCCAUGCCGCGUGUAUGAAGAAGGCCUUCGGGUUGUAAAGUACUUUCAGCGGGGAGGAAGGGAGUAAAGUUAAUACCUUUGCUCAUUGACGUUACCCGCAGAAGAAGCACCGGCUAACUCCGUGCCAGCAGCCGCGGUAAUACGGAGGGUGCAAGCGUUAAUCGGAAUUACUGGGCGUAAAGCGCACGCAGGCGGUUUGUUAAGUCAGAUGUGAAAUCCCCGGGCUCAACCUGGGAACUGCAUCUGAUACUGGCAAGCUUGAGUCUCGUAGAGGGGGGUAGAAUUCCAGGUGUAGCGGUGAAAUGCGUAGAGAUCUGGAGGAAUACCGGUGGCGAAGGCGGCCCCCUGGACGAAGACUGACGCUCAGGUGCGAAAGCGUGGGGAGCAAACAGGAUUAGAAACCCCUGUAGUCC